rnacentral:rRNA from 1 species
UACGUAGGGGGCUAGCGUUGUCCGGAAUCAUUGGGCGUAAAGCGCGUGUAGGCGGCCCGGUAAGUCCGCUGUGAAAGUCGGGGGCUCAACCCUCGGAUGCCGGUGGAUACUGUCGGGCUCGAGUACGGAAGAGGCGAGUGGAAUUCCUGGUGUAGCGGUGAGAUGCGCAGAUAUCAGGAGGAACACCUAUUGCGAAGGCAGCUCGCUGGGACGUUACUGACGCUGAGACGCGAAAGCGUGGGGAGCAAACAGG